rnacentral:rRNA from 1 species
CGGGCGGCUCCACCAGUGAGGAAUAUUGCACAAUGGGGGGAACCCUGAUGCAGCAACGCCGCGUGGAGGAUGACGCAUUUCGGUGUGUAAACUCCUUUUAUAUGUCAAGAAAAUGACGGUAGCAUAUGAAUAAGCACCGGCUAACUCCGUGCCAGCAGCCACGGUAAUACGGAGGGUGCAAGCGUUACUCGGAAUCACUGGGCGUAAAGGACGCGUAGGCGGGUUGGAAAGUCAGGUGUGAAAUCCUACAGCUUAACUGUAGAACUGCACUUGAAACUUCUAAUCUAGAGUAUGGGAGGGGGAGAUGGAAUUAGUGGUGUAGGGGUAAAAUCCGUAGAUAUCACUAGGAAUACCUAAAGCGAAGGCGAUCUCCUGGAACAUUACUGACGCUAAGGCGUGAAAGCGUGGGGAGCAAACAGGAUUAGAUACCCCGGUAGUC